rnacentral:rRNA from 1 species
CUGGAAAGGAAUGCCACAGAGGGUGAUAGCCCCGUACGGUGUUGACUCGAUACAGAGUCCUAACAUGGAGUCGAGUUGUUUGGGAAUGCAGCUCAAAUGGGUGGUAUGCUCCAUCUAAGGCUAAAUAUUUGCGAGAGACCGAUAGCGAACAAGUACUGUGAAGGAAAGAUGAAAAGAACUUUGAAAAGAGAGUGAAAUAGUACGUGAAAUUGUUGAAAUGGAAGGGUAGGCCGCUAACCAUGUAGGACCGUGUUUGGGGGGAAGAUAAAUGCUG